AGUACCUUUUAAUGAAUUGUCCAGAGAGGCAAAAAAAGGGAAGUUGUGGACAGGCUGAAGUAGGAUGUAUGUCUUGCUGUAGUUUGUCACGCCUCCUUAUGCCUCGUUGAUGACAUCAACGGGGCUUUUACGU
rfam:Lysinibacillus sp. F5 Contig14, whole genome shotgun sequence.